rnacentral:misc_RNA from 1 species
GCGUCCUGCACGGACGCGGCCCUUCCCAGCUCAACUCGGGCCGGAGCCUAGCAAGGAUUCUGAUCGAUGCCUGACGACGUCUUCAUUGCAAUCAGCGGCGAAGCUCUCCAUUCCAAAUCCAAAGUUUACGUGAGCCGCGCACUAGCGAGAAAAAGCCUCGGGGAUCUCGACGAAUACCAACUAUGGGCUUCCCUGGCGCUCGAGCUGCUCGGAAAAGCUGCGCUCGCUCGCAAGCAUCCUAGCCUCAUCGUCGAUCCCACACACUGGCAGUCGAUGUUCGUCGCCGCCGGCAUCAACGUGACAACUGACGUCAAGACGAUCACCGCGAAGACACUAUUCGAACGCCUAGCUCACCUUGUGCCGCGGUUCGAUAAAACGAUUCAGAAAUUCUGCGAAGGCAUUGCGGAACGUCGCAACGCUGAGCUUCAUUCCGCCG